rnacentral:rRNA from 1 species
CAGUCGCCACGGGAAUACGGAGGGGGCUAGCGUUGUUCGGAAUUACUGGGCGUAAAGCGCACGUAGGCGGCUUGGUAAGUUAGAGGUGAAAGCCUGGAGCUCAACUCCAGAAUUGCCUUUAAGACUGCCGAGCUAGCAGGUGAGAGAGGUAAGUGGAAUUCCGAGUGUAGAGGUGAAAUUCGUAGAUAUUCGGAAGAACACCAGUGGCGAAGGCGGCUUACUGGCUCAUACUGGACGCUGAGGUGCGAAAGCGUGGGGAGCAAACAGGAUUAGAUACCCCAGUAGUCCCUGUCUCUUAUAA